AACGAACGCUGGCGGCAUGCCUAACACAUGCAAGUCGAACGAGACCUUCGGGUCUAGUGGCGCACGGGUGCGUAACGCGUGGGAACCUGCCCUUAGGUUCGGAAUAACUCCCCGAAAGGGGUGCUAAUACCGGAUAAUGUCUUCGGACCAAAGAUUUAUCGCCUUUGGAUGGGCCCGCGUUGGAUUAGCUAGUUGGUAGGGAAAAGCCUACCAAGGCGACGAUCCAUAGCUGGUCUGAGAGGAUGAUCAGCCACACUGGGACUGAGACACGGCCCAGACUCCUACGGGAGGCAGCAGUGGGGAAUAUUGGACAAUGGGCGAAAGCCUGAUCCAGCAAUGCCGCGUGAGUGAUGAAGGCCUUAGGGUUGUAAAGCUCUUUUACCCGGGAUAAUAAUGACAGUACCGGGAGAAUAAGCUCCGGCUAACUCCGUG
rnacentral:rRNA from 1 species